UACAGAGGGGGCAAGCGUUGUUCGGAAUUACUGGGCGUAAAGGGCGCGUAGGCGGCCCGCUAAGUCGAACGUGAAAUCCCCGGGCUCAACCCGGGAACUGCGUCCGAUACUGGCAGGCUUGAAUCCGGGAGAGGGAUGCGGAAUUCCAGGUGUAGCGGUGAAAUGCGUAGAUAUCUGGAGGAACACCGGUGGCGAAGGCGGCAUCCUGGACCGGCAUUGACGCUGAGGCGCGAAAGCCAGGGGAGCAAAGCGGGG
rnacentral:rRNA from 1 species